rnacentral:rRNA from 1 species
UGAACGCUGGCGGCGUGCCUAAUACAUGCAAGUCGAGCGAACAGAUGAGGAGCUUGCUCCUCUGACGUUAGCGGCGGACGGGUGAGUAACACGUGGAUAACCUACCUAUAAGACUGGGAUAACUUCGGGAAACCGGAGCUAAUACCGGAUAAUAUAUUGAACCGCAUGGUUCAAUAGUGAAAGACGGUUUUGCUGUCACUUAUAGACGGAUCCGCGCCGCAUUAGCUAGUUGGUAAGGUAACGGCUUACCAAGGCAACGAUGCGUAGCCGACCUGAGAGGGUGAUCGGCCACACUGGAACUGAGACACGGUCCAGACUCCUACGGGAGGCAGCAGUAGGGAAUCUUCCGCAAUGGGCGAAAGCCUGACGGAGCAACGCCGCGUGAGUGAUGAAGGUCUUCGGAUCGUAAAACUCUGUUAUUAGGGAAGAACAAAUGUGUAAGUAACUAUGCACGUCUUGACGGUACCUAAUCAGAAAGCCACGGCUAACUACGUG